CUGGAGAUCCCUGCUAGCCUGAGGAUCUUAUAGGCCUUCUGAAGGUUCCUUUCUAUGCAGUUCCCUACUAAAUAAUACCAUUCUAAUUGAAGAAAAGAUGGACCUCAAACUUCCCAUCUUACUGGCAGAGCAGCUCCAUUUCCAUCUCCAGCUGUAGAGAAGACAGUAGUGACAAGAGUCUGCCCUCAUGCCCAAAGCACGUGUGCUAAUUUUGGAUGCAGAAUGGAAAAAAGAAGAGGGAACUUUAUCCUGAUCUCUUCCUCCAAUUAACUGGGGGCACUCACCUUAUAAGGCUUUUUAAUGGUUAAGAACAUAAAAAAGGGGAAAAUAAAGGGAUCUUGAGAUGGCGAAGGGUACUCUGCGAAUGAAGACUGGCAUCACAUCAAUAAUGCAUUAUUCUAUGAGCUUGAGGGUGAAAAAACUUCUACCACAAAUCCCUUGUCUCAUACUUUUAUUCCACAUACAGAACUAAGUGUAAAACUAAGUUCUAGAUCUUAGUUUUUGAGGCUCAGGUUAGACCUUUAAGGCUAAAAUUACAGUCUUGCAUCUUAUGUGCUGACAGUUCAGUUUGAGAGUUAAUUCUUAAUUUCUAGCAUUUUUCUACUCUCAUUUGAUUUUUAGUUACCAGACACUUGGGCUUCUUUCUUUAGCCUUUAAAGACAUCAGUUGUCAGACUUUGUUCCUCAUUUACAUCCUCGCAGACUGCAAUCAUAGUUUAAAUCUUAACCUCCUCUUGUUUAAAUCCCCAAGCUCACCUGCAUGAGUGAUUAAUAAAAAAAAUAUCCUCCAAUUUUUCAUUAUUCUUAAGGCUUUUCUCAUCUCUAAUUUAUUAAUAGCCUUUCUUGAAUGUGGAUAUUAAAAUGAAACUGUAUUCCAAUACUAUUCACCCUAAAGCAAAACUAACAGAAAUUCUUUAUUCC
rnacentral:lncRNA from 1 species